GCCGAUCAAUUUCUUCUGACAAGAGAAAUUAUGUAAAGCAUUGACUGUUUAGCUCUGGCCAAUGACUAUGUUCAGGAGACAGGAAUGUGCCCUUCACCAAGUAUAAACACAAAGGAUUUAAGGUACAUAAUGAGCAUUAUUAGAAGCACUGAUUUUGGUAAUAAUAUGGCUGGCUACAGCUGAUUCUGGACGCUGUGUGUCUUCAGGGGAAUUCCUGGUCAGUCAGGAAUUAAAUGAGUGAGCGAAAUUGGAAAAGGAUGAAGGACCAAAAGCCCAGUUUCCCAGCAACAUUAAAAAGUGCUUGCAAGAAAACGGACCCUGAGCUUGCAGUUUGUCAGACUGCCAGUUAGGACUGAAUGU